rnacentral:siRNA from 1 species
CUGUUUUUGAGCCAAAAUAUCAA